rnacentral:rRNA from 1 species
GCGCCUCGUGAAUUCAUCUCCGGGGGUAGAGCACUGUUUCGGCUAGGGGGCCAUCCCGGCUUACCAACCCGAUGCAAACUGCGAAUACCGGAGAAUGUUAUCACGGGAGACACACGGCGGGUGCUAACGUCCGUCGUGAAGAGGGAAACAACCCAGACCGCCAGCUAAGGUCCCAAAGUCAUGGUUAAGUGGGAAACGAUGUGGGAAGGCCCAGACAGCCAGGAUGUUGGCUUAGAAGCAGCCAUCAUUUAAAGAAAGCGUAAUAGCUCACUGGUCGAGUCGGCCUGCGCGGAAGAUGUAACGGGGCUAAACCAUGCACCGAAGCUGCGGCAGCGAACGUAUCACCCAAGACAACUUUACGGAGUUGACGAUUGACGGAGCGAAGCGACGUCAAAGCGUUCAUUAAAGUCGAGUUGGCUUAGGGAUACGUUCGUUGGGUAGGGGAGCGUUCUGUAAGCCUGUGAAGGUGUGUCGUGAGGCAUGCUGGAGGUAUCAGAAGUGCGAAUGCUGACAUAAGUAACGAUAAAGCGGGUGAAAAGCCCGCUCGCCGGAAGACCAAGGGUUCCUGUCCAACGUUAAUCGGGGCAGGGUGAGUCGACCCCUAAGGCGAGGCCGAAAGGCGUAGUCGAUGGGAAACGGGUUAAUAUUCCCGUACUUGGUGUUACUGCGAAGGGGGGACGGAGAAGGCUAUGUUGGCCGGGCGACGGUUGUCCCGGUUUAAGCGUGUAGGUGUGUGUUCCAGGUAAAUCCGGUUCACUUUAACACUGAGGCGUGACGACGAGGCACUACGGUGCUGAAGCAACAAAUGCCCUGCU